CUACGGAGGGUGCAAGCGUUACUCGGAAUCACUGGGCGUAAAGCGCGCGCAGGCGGCUUGGUAAGUUGGAUGUGAAAGCCUACGGCUCAACCGUAGAACUGCAUCCAAAACUGUCAAGCUAGAGUGUGGGAGAGGAAGAUGGAAUUAGUUGUGUAGGGGUAAAAUCCGUAGAGAUAACUAGGAAUACCAAAAGCGAAGGCAAUCUUCUGGAACACUACUGACGCUGAGGCGCGAAAGCGUGGGGAGCAAACAGGAUUAGAUACCCUAGUAGUCC
rnacentral:rRNA from 1 species